rnacentral:rRNA from 1 species
GACGAACGCUGGCGGCGUGCUUAACACAUGCAAGUCGAACGAUGAAGCGGUGCUUGCACCGUGGUUUAGUGGCGAACGGGUGAGUAAUACGUGAGUGACCUACCUUUGACUCUGGGAUAAGCCUGGGAAACUGGGUCUAAUACCGGAUACGACCAAUCUCUGCAUGGGGUGUUGGUGGAAAGCGUUAUGGAGUGGUUUUAGAUGGGCUCACGGCCUAUCAGCUUGUUGGUGAGGUAAUGGCUUACCAAGGCGACGACGGGUAGCCGGCCUGAGAGGGUGACCGGCCACACUGGGACUGAGACACGGCCCAGACUCCUACGGGAGGCAGCAGUGGGGAAUAUUGCACAAUGGGCGCAAGCCUGAUGCAGCGACGCCGCGUGAGGGAUGACGGCCUUCGGGUUGUAAACCUCUGUUAGCAUCGAAGAAGCGAAAGUGACGGUAGGUGCAGAGAAAGCGCCGGCUAACUACGUG